UACAGAGGGUGCGAGCGUUGUUCGGAAUUAUUGGGCGUAAAGGGCGCGUAGGCGGUGCGGUAAGUCACCUGUGAAAUCUCCUGGCUCAACUGGGAGCUUGCAGGCGAAACUGCCGUGCUGGAGUGUGGGAGAGGUGCGUGGAAUUCCUGGUGUAGCGGUGAAAUGCGUAGAGAUCAGGAAGAACAUCGGUGGCGAAGGCGCUCUGCUGGACCAUAACUGACGCUGAGGCACGAAAGCGUGGGUAGCAAACAGG
rnacentral:rRNA from 1 species